rnacentral:rRNA from 1 species
AUUGAACGCUGGCGGAAUGCUUUACACAUGCAAGUCGAACGGCAGCACGGACUUCGGUCUGGUGGCGAGUGGCGAACGGGUGAGUAAUGUAUCGGAACGUGCCCAGUCGUGGGGGAUAACGUAGUGAAAAUUACGCUAAUACCGCAUACGAUCUAUGGAUGAAAGCGGGGGAUCGCAAGACCUCGCGCGAUUGGAGCGGCCGAUAUCAGAUUAGGUAGUUGGUGGGGUAAAGGCCCACCAAGCCAACGAUCUGUAGCUGGUCUGAGAGGACGAGCAGCCACACGGGGACUGAGACACGGUCCAGACUCCUACGGGAGGCAGCAGUGGGGAAUUUUGGACAAGGGGCGAAAGCCUGAUCCAGCCAUUCCGCGUGCAGGAUGAAGGCCCUCGGGUUGUAAACUGCUUUUGUACAGAACGAAAAGGUUUCUACUAAUACUAGGAGCUCAUGACGGUACUGUAAGAAUAAGCACCGGCUAACUACGUGCCAGCAGCCGCCGUAA